rnacentral:sRNA from 1 species
AGAGAGAGAGAGAGAAUGAAUGUAUAGGAGUGUCUUGGGCUGCUCUGCCAGCCUGUUAAUGCCCUAGGAAGAUGCACUUAUAGACUUGAGCCACAUAAUACUUCAGAGUUCUGGUUCCCAGGAUGAAACUGUCAGAAAUCUAUUUCCUUACUCUCCCACAUAGAUGCGACCCUCCUGUAAUAUACACCUCGAUAGCUUUCUGUCACUUCUAUGAGGACACUGCAAUGUACCUGGAUGGCCAUUGUCUGAGGUCCUUCCUUGAUCAAAUCCUUGAAUCUCAGGUCCCUGCGGCAGCUGGAAACUGUCUGAAAUGCACAUUGAACAUUCAUGGACAAGACCUAAGUCACUGACGUGAGAGACAAGAGUGCGGAAUGUAACGGAAUCUACAGAAGGCUGUAACAUAACAUUCUAAUUGAACACACCCUGGGGAAUUUCUGUGGAAAUAUUUCUGGAUUUGGGUGUUUCUGUCCCUCACUCUUCCUGGACACAUACGAGUCACAUCAAAGGAAUUCGUUAAAAGGAAUCGUCUGGUGUCCUUUGUGGUUGGAAUGGUUUUAAAAGGUCUCAGCUGACUGACAGGCAGUGGAGACGUGAAAUCCCAGACUCUCAGUUCUUCUUCAGUUCCAAAUUGUCAAGUUGCUGAUGGUGCAGUCUCUCCUAGAGUUUGUUUGGGGAAGCAGCAGACGGAUGAAAAGGAGAAACUGUAUUUUACUUAAAUGAGCUCCCUCCAUUCGUGCAGCAUGUGAUUAGGCGGCUGUGUUAGGACCAGAAUCAUUUUACAUUCCUGAAGGGUGACACUCUGGGACUUGGUCUCCGACCUGGUAAUAGCCUGGACCAAAGACUGGGAAAAAGAAUUCCAAAAUAAGAGAAAGUCGGCGGAGGGUGGGAAGACAGGCAAGCCAGUGCUGUGGGGACACUUGGCUGGCCUUGCUUAGCCACAGGACUCCAGAAGGGAAAGGAUGAGGCCGUUCCAUGCAGCAGCCCUUCUCCAUGGCUCUACUUGAUACAAGCCAGGUGUCCCAUGCAAAGAACAUCAGGAACUGUCCCAGGCACCUUCUACCCAGUCUUGAACUUCCUCUCUUUGUAUUAACCCAGAACUUUCUGUCACAUGGUCAUGUGACAUGUCUUUCUUCCACAAGAGCAAAGCAAGUAUGGGGAAAACAGAUAUGAACAAUCCCACCUUAAAGAGAAGGGGAUCCCUUGGUGUCACCAGCUGCUAGGGAGGGGGCAGGAGGACUUCACAGCAGAAUUAGCAUCUAAUUGGGAUGCUGAAGGGUGACUCGAGUUUGCUAGUGGGUUAGGACAGAACACAUUUCCAGCAGAAUGGGAAUCAGCCACUAUGCAUGGAUUCAUUCCCAAGUAGAUUUUAUUUUAUCCCUAAGUUUCAACUCUGAGCCUGCCCUCGAGUACUUCCAGUCCAGUGAGGACUACCUUGAAGGCAUCCUACAUGAAUAGUAAGUGGAUGGUUUGGGGAAGGUCAUGGACCAGUGGACACUCCACAGCUUCCUUGGGAGCAAGAGGCCAGGCUGAAAUAAAUGUCAAGGAGACAAGGAGGGCACAACUCAAGAGAGUCGCUGCAGACGCAGGAGAUAUUAGACAAAAGUUCGAGAAAAUGCUCCCUGUAGGUGGUAGGGGUGACGUGCACAAGAAGGAGAGGGGAGUAAGACAGAAGUUACCCCUUGGGAUGUCAGGAAGCAGAGAGAAGACUCUAGUGGGAACUAAACUCAGCUAUAACCCGUUGAGUCCGCCCUCAGAAACUCUUCCUCCAGGGAAGCCCCACCUCCUGGAUGCUACAGCUUUUUCCAACAGGGCCACCAGCUGGAGACCAAGUGUUGAAAUACAUGAACCUUGUAGGCCAUGUUCACAUUCUAACUGUAAUAAGAACCAGUAAGGAUUUCAUUCUGAAGACCAAGAACGUUGGUUUUUAUAAUGAGUGUGUCUGGCUAGAAGGAUGUCCUAGUGCCUAAGAACAACGGUUGCUCUUUCCAGGGAUCUAGACUCCUUUCCCAGCACCCACAUGGCAACUUAGAGCCACCGGUAACUGUAGUUCCCAGGGAUCUGACGCCCUCUUCUGGCCUCCAAAGGUACCAGGCGCACAUGUGGGGCACAUACAUACAUGCAACAAAGCACUCAUAAGCAUCAAAUAAGGCUAAAUAAAUCUUUAGAAAUCAAACUGGCAUGUUUUAUUCUUCAAUUACAUAAAUAUACCCGUAGAGUGAACAAAACUCAGAGAAUGUGAAAAGCAUAGUUACAAUGGCUAACUAAGAUGUAAUAAAUAUUAGAUGUACACUUUCAGUUUUAUUUGCUUAAACAUGGUGUGAGCGUGUGGAAUCUUUUUCUGUUGUAGACUCUGUGGUUGAGGGCCGAGAUAGAACGCAGGGUGAGGUCUUCCUGAGCAUCCGGGUGAGACGGGAAGUCCCACCUGGAAAGAAAGAGAGAUGGAACCAAGUGGA